AAAAAGCACCAGGGGUGUCUGCAUCUGCUUCAUAAGCAGGUCAGGCUGAGAAAGUCCCUUUGAACCUGAACAGGUUAAUACCUGCGUAGGGAGCGUGCGUUUUGUUUUCU
rnacentral:ncRNA from 1 species